UACGUAGGGUGCGAGCGUUGUCCGGAAUUAUUGGGCGUAAAGGGCUCGUAGGCGGUUUGUCGCGUCGGGAGUGAAACCACCGGGCUUAACUCGGUGCUUGCUUUCGAUACGGGCAGACUAGAGGUAUGCAGGGGAGAACGGAAUUCCUGGUGUAGCGGUGAAAUGCGCAGAUAUCAGGAGGAACACCGGUGGCGAAGGCGGUUCUCUGGGCAUUACCUGACGCUGAGGAGCGAAAGUGUGGGGAGCGAACAGG
rnacentral:rRNA from 1 species